CUACGGGGCAGCAGUGAGGAAUAUUGCACAAUGGGGGGAACCCUGAUGCAGCAACGCCGCGUGGAGGAUGACGCAUUUCGGUGUGUAAACUCCUUUUAUAUGUCAAGAAAAUGACGGUAGCAUAUGAAUAAGCACCGGCUAACUCCGUGCCAGCAGCCGCGGUAAUACGGGGGGUGCAAGCGUUACUCGGAAUCACUGGGCGUAAAGGACGCGUAGGCGGGUUGGAAAGUCAGGUGUGAAAUCCUACAGCUUAACUGUAGAACUGCACUUGAAACUUCUAAUCUAGAGUAUGGGAGGGGGAGAUGGAAUUAGUGGUGUAGGGGUAAAAUCCGUAGAUAUCACUAGGAAUACCUAAAGCGAAGGCGAUCUCCUGGAGCAUUACUGACGCUAAGGCGUGAAAGCGUGGGGAGCAAACAGGAUUAGAUACCCCUGUAGUC
rnacentral:rRNA from 1 species